UACAGAGGUCUCAAGCGUUGUUCGGAUUCAUUGGGCGUAAAGGGUGUGUAGGUGGCGCCGUUAGUCGGGUGUGAAAUUUCGGAGCUUAACUCCGAAACUGCAUUCGAUACUGCGGUGCUUGAGGACUGGAGAGGAGACUGGAAUUCAUGGUGUAGCAGUGAAAUGCGUAGAGAUCAUGAGGAAGACCAGUGGCGAAGGCGGGCUC
rnacentral:rRNA from 1 species